rnacentral:snRNA from 1 species
AUACUUACCUGGCAGGGGAGAUACCAUGAUCAAGAAGGUGGUUUACCCAGGGUGAGGCUUGGCCAUUGCACUCCGGUUUGUGCUGACCUCUGCGAAUUCCCCAAAUGUGGUAGUCUCGACUGCAUAAUUUAUGGUAGUAGGGUACUGCGUUUGCUCUCUCUCCUG